rnacentral:rRNA from 1 species
UUAAGCAUAUCAAUAAGCGGAGGACAAGAAACCAACAGGGAUUGCCCCAGUAACGGCGAGUGAAGCGGCAACAGCUCAAAUUUGAAAUCUGGCUCUUUUAGAGUCCGAGUUGUAAUUUGCAGAGGGCGCUUUGGCUUUGGCAGCGGUCCAAGUUCCUUGGAACAGGACGUCACAGAGGGUGAGAAUCCCGUACGU